AAGACGUUGGGCAAUGUGCUACGUACCUAUAAACCCAUCAGUCAUCACCGUUAGUGGUCCCCGACUCCCACCCAAAGGCCAUCCCCACCGCCGCGUACCUCCGAGGUCUCCUCCCCUUACUCCACAAAUUAAAAUCCUUUCCCAGCACUCUUCUUCUCGUCUCUCCUCCUUUCUAAUUAAUUAAAUUGGUCAAAAGGAACUCACAGUGGAUUUAAUUGGCACAAAAGACCAGCUUCUGAGAAAAGUACUCAUAAGGACCAAGAUCCUCACGUGGAAUGAAUCGUUUGUCAAAGUGCCCGUGACUGCCUUUGGAAGUCUCUAAUCUGUUAACAGAAUUCGCAUGAAGAGGUUUGUAGCGACCGAAGAUGUUGAGCUUUGGGGAGGAGAUGACGGAGUAAUACUAUUUCGACAGCAAGAGGCUGGAUAUUCCGGCAGGCAACAGGAAUAAGUUGAUUAUUGCAGUAGAGGAGACGAUUUUUUGGGAAUAACUCCAGUUGCUCAGGGCUAAGACGGCGGCGAGGGAGAGCGACCCUGGCAAACUAUUAUGGAGAUUCACCAAUCACUCCCCGUCACAGUAGUGGAUGAUCACUUGAGCUUUUUUAUACAGCUUACGAGCUUGAUGUCAAGACACACACACGGCAUUUUACUGUAAAAGGAGAACUAAAUGACAAAAAAAUGAAAGCAGUUUUCUUCUUAAUGGUGACAGCUGACAAGAAACAGAAAUAGCAUUAAUCGAAGAAGACAUCAAAAUCCCAAGGAAACUGCAAGGUACAUCAAAAAAUAGCUGCCCAGCUGCCCCAGUACAAGCUGGCAAAGCAGGCAAUUCUCACUCUCCACAAAAACAAAAAAACAGAAGGGUGAAAUUUACAAAACAAAGGGAGGGAGAUAGGAGAAGAUGGCGUGAGGGGGGAGGAGAGUGCAUAUAAAGCAUAUUUCACUGAGAUACUUGACGGCAUAGUCGCGUAGCUGGGAACAUCUUCGGAUACUGUGUCCCGUGAAUCUGUGGCAUUACAAGACAGCCACGCUUUCUCCUUCGGCGGAGACCUGAGAUUCAGAAGGCGGAGCCACGGCUUGUUUAUUGGAUACCACACGACGCUUCUCCUUCCUCUCAUCCUGAAUCAUCUUCUGUUGACGGCAUUCUAGACUGCAGAAAGCACUGUCACCCCUGCAAAUUAUAUUCAAUAUUCACAAUCCACUGUUUAAGAAAAUGAAGUCCGUGAGAUUCAAGAAGACGACCACGAUACAUCGCGUAUUGGAUCCGAUUCAUGGUAAAUCCGGGGCAUAUACACCCGUUUCCCGGGAAAGAAUUUACAAAUCCAAGGGGUUGCGAGUUUAUAAACUAAACAAAUUGGAAAGACCGCCAGUUGGGGGAGAGGGAAAUAGAUAUGUACCUGUACAUGUAGAUGUCACGGCCGGGUAUCAAGCGACGUUUGCAGAGAAAGCAAGCACGAAGGAAGUCGGCAGUCUGGACGGGAUCCAUGGAAUGCCUUCUACGGCUUGCAGGCGACACCCUCUGAUCCAACCAAUUGGAGACACCUGGAUGCUUGCGUGGAACAUCAGAUGAUGGCCUGCCGUUAGGGUUAUAGUUAGGAUCGUUUUGGGGGGCAUCGGGGGCGACGUUCAGAUCGAAGGGAAUCUCCGAUAAGCUGGUGGUUCUCUUCAUCGGAGGACGAGGUCUCUUGCCCAACAACAUGUUGUCGCAGGUUUUGUGUAAUGGGUAUUGGUAUGGAGGAGGAGAAGGAAAGGCUGGAGAGGGCAGAAUGGAGUGAAGGGGAGGGAGAUAAAAAUCAGAGCCAAAAAGCGAGGAGUGAAUGUGAGCCGUUGAAUUGGGGGAGUGGAGUGAGGCGGUCAUAAAGGAGCGGAGAAAUGCUACAUCAGCCCUUAAUCAGCUUUUGAAAACCAAUAAUUAGGGGCAGUAAUUACAGAAUGGGGGAACUUUGGAUGCUUUUCCAAGACUCCGAAGCAGCAGUCACUUUGGGGGAUUGUGAUUGGAUGGCGCAGGAGGAAUUGGAAUCUACCGCAUUUGGUGAAUCAAAGACUUUCAAGUUUUUAAUUUGUGAUUGACUUGUUUCCCGAAAUGCCAGGCAUUGUGGAUCCCCCCAGUCUCGCACACACCACCACAACUGUUACUAACCCGUAUUAUUAGUGUGGCACAAUUAUUGUGAUUAUCAAUUUACCGACUAUCUUUUCUUUCUUUUUCUUUUUUUUUUUUUAAUUUCUGUCUUUGACUUCUGUCGUUAAUUUCACGGACUACCCCUUGGAUA